rnacentral:rRNA from 1 species
UACGAGGGGGGCAAGUGUUGUUCGGAAUCACUGGGCGUAAAGGGAGCGUAGGCGGAUGUUUAAGUCGGGAGUUUUAAAACCGGGGCCCAACCCCGGAGCGGCUCCCGAAACUGGGCAUCUUGAAUAGGUCAGAGGCUGGUGGAAUUGGAGGUGUAGCGGUGGAAUGCGUAGAGAUCUCCAAGAACACCUAUUGCGAAGGCAGCCAGCUGGGACCAUAUUGACGCUGAGGCUCGAAAGCAUGGGGAGCAAACAGG